ACUCCUACGGGAGGCAGCAGUGGGAAUAUUGGACAAUGGGGAACCCGUAGCAUCCAGCAAUGCCGCAGCUGAGUGAUGAAGGCCCUAGGGUUGUAAAGCUCUUUACCAGGGAUGAUAAUGACAGUACCUGGAGAAUAAGCUCCGGCUAACUCCGUGCCAGCAGCCGCGGUAAUACGGAGGGUGCAAGCGUUAAUCGGAAUUACUGGGCGUAAAGCGUGCGCAGGCGGUCUGUUAAGCGAGAUGUGAAAGCCCCGGGCUCAACCUGGGAACUGCAUUUCGAACUGGCAGACUAGAGUCUUGUAGA
rnacentral:rRNA from 1 species